GCGUGAGUGAUGAAGGCCUUCGGGUUGUAAAGCUCUUUUACCCGGGAUGAUAAUGACAGUACCGGGAGAAUAAGCUCCGGCUAACUCCGUGCCAGCAGCCGCGGUAAUACGGAGGGAGCUAGCGUUGUUCGGAAUCACUGGGCGUAAAGCGCACGUGGGCGGCUACUCCAGUCAGAGGUGAAAGCCCGGGGCUCAACCCCGGAACUGCCUUUGAAACUAGGUAGCUAGAAUCUUGGAGAGGCGAGUGGAAUUCCGAGUGUAGAGGUGAAAUUCGU
rnacentral:rRNA from 1 species